rnacentral:rRNA from 1 species
GACGAACGCUGGCGGCGUGCCUAACACAUGCAAGUCGAGCGGGGAAUGAUUGGUAGCUUGCUACUGGUUAUUUCUAGCGGCGGACGGGUGAGUAACGCGUGAGCAACCUGCCUUUAUCAGGGGGAUAACGCAUCGAAAGAUGUGCUAAUACCGCGUAAGACCACAGCUUCACAUGGAGCAGGGGUCAAAGGAGCAAUCCGGAUAAAGAUGGGCUCGCGUCCGAUUAGCUAGUUGGUGAGAUAACAGCCCACCAAGGCGACGAUCGGUAGCCGACCUGAGAGGGUGAUCGGCCACAUUGGAACUGAGAAACGGUCCAGACUCCUACGGGAGGCAGCAGUGGGGAAUAUUGGGCAAUGGGCGAAAGCCUGACCCAGCAACGCCGCGUGAGGGAAGAAGGGUUUCGGCUCGUAAACCUCUGUCCUAUGGGACGAAGGAAGUGACGGUACCAUAGGAGGAAGCCCCGGCUAACUACGUG